CUGCAAGCGGUUAGGGAGAAAAACCUUAUCCCACUUUAGAGAAAAGAUAACUUGGGGGUGCAGAGGUUAGGUUGUCUUCCCAAACUGAUACAGCGUGGGAAUGAUGAAUAAAAAGUCCUAGCCCAAGAGCAACUGUCAAGGGAUUUUACUUGGGCUUUUGAAGCACGGGCCAAAGUCCGUUGAAGGCUCCUGUGAAAAUGUUCACGUUAACAUCAGCAUUUAAUUUUUCUGGGUUUUGAAUCUAUUUGAAGAAGCACAGAGAACAAUGCUAAGAUAGGUAUAAAACGUUGAAAAUACUUCAACCUUCUCCUAAAUGUUUUUUGAGUUGUGUGGUUUUGACGCUGGUUUUAUUCAUGCCCGUUGCCUUCUGUAGGUACGAGAGUCCCAGCAGUGUUCAUGCAGUACAAUUUGCGCGAUGAGGAGACUCCUGAAACGACUCCCAGUGACCUCCCCCAGGCAUCACCAGGACCUCAAGGGAAAAUAAGAAGAGUUCAUGAAGGUGGUCUCCAGAUGAUACAGCCCUCGCAGAAGCACUCACUCCGCUCUUCGUUUCCACUGACUAGGAAGCAAAUCCGCGACACUACCAGGCCUGGCAAGUGCAGACAGAUUCCAGUUGCUCCUGGACUUACUAAGAAGGUAAGAGGGACACACAGUGACAACUGAAUGUAAAACCAAGGGAGAGGAGGUAAAGCAGAGGAGAUGGAUGUACUUAAAGUUGUUUAUUCAUGUUUGCUUUGAUCUUAAAAAGUAAAACUAAUGCUUAUCACAAGUUAAUAAUUAAUUUACCAACACCAGAUUUCCCCUUCAUUUGAGCGACAGACUUGAUGUAAAGAUAGCAGUAUGAAAAAUAGUUUCUAAGUUGUUAAUAUACAGUGCUUUGGACUCCUUUGCUUCUCUUUGUAGAACUAGAAACGAAUUUGCUCUUUCAAGCAAACAUGGCAUUAUUGUGUCGUGUUCAUUUGUGCAAAGUGACCAUACUGUUAAUAUUCUGGUUUCAUUCAUACCUGCUUUGUGCACUUCUUACAAGGGUAGAGAGAUUAUGCAUGGCACUGAGCAGUGGAGAAGAACCGGAGUUUGGUACUUCAGUGUCGUACAGAGGCAAGGUAGAUGACUAAAAAUCAGACAUCAAUUUUACAUGCAAAUCUAGGACCCUUGUGCACUAUGUGAGUGCUGGUGCGGAUACAACCACUAGGUACUCUGUGAUUUAGAGUACAGUGACUGACUUUAGGUUAAGCUGACUUGCACUUUUGGAACAUGCAUACAGACAUGAGAGUUCACUCUAUGUAUAUACUUGUACACAAAUAUUUGUAAAAUCAUUACUGCCAUAACGUGGUUCCGCUUUCUUGAAAUAAUUGAGCCACCUGAUUUUUACUACUGAUUUUAGACCAUCAUGCUGUAAACUCUGUGGUAGCUGACCUUGUUCACAUAGAAACGUGAUAGAGAAAA
rnacentral:lncRNA from 1 species